UACGUAGGGGGCUAGCGUUGUCCGGAAUCAUUGGGCGUAAAGCGCGUGUAGGCGGCCCGGUAAGUCCGCUGUGAAAGUCCAGGGCUCAACCCUGGGAUGCCGGUGGAUACUGUCGGGCUCGAGUCCGGAAGAGGCGAGUGGAAUUCCUGGUGUAGCGGUGAAAUGCGCAGAUAUCAGGAGGAACACCAAUGGCGAAGGCAGCUCGCUGGGACGUGACUGACGCUGAGACGCGAAAGCGUGGGGAGCAAACAGG
rnacentral:rRNA from 1 species